UUAAGACGUGCAUUAAGAUCUAGACGUUUGAAUCUGAAAUACAAAAUAGUUAAGACUAUUUAUUUUCUCAACCUCCGACGUAUAGAAGUAGUUUUUGUUCAAAAAGUAAUAAAUAUAAAAUCAAUCUCACAUUAUAUCAAUAAAAAUGUAAAUUUUUCUACACAACAAUUGAUGGUGAUAUUGACUAGCGAUGAUGACUAUGCGUGUCGAUUUGGAAUGACGUUAGAUCAUAGAUGAUCGCGGAUAGUAUCUUAAGGUAUAUUAGUACAAAUAAAUGGGCUUCAUACUUUUGGGCCACAACUUCAAAGCCCACUCCCCAAAAACCCUAGCUUCCUCUAUAUAAAUAGAACCACUAACCCUACAUUAACUCACAUCAGUUUCAGUUUCUCCUCUUCUGCAGCUGCAGAUCGAAAUCUUCAAAAAUGUUACAGACCUGUAAUGAUUUGUGAAAAUGAUCACAAUUAAUUAUGAACAUCUAAGGGACUGAGUUGUUUGUCAUAUUAUAUUUUUACGAGAUAACGAUAAGGUUUGCGUAGAUUUAUAAUAUGCUUUGCUAAUUACAUAUUUUUGUGUAUCACACUUUUUAUAGUGUGAUAUUUUAGUAAGUGAAGCUAUAAUAAAGUUCCCCUCGCUAUCCUUUGCAUCUAAUUUUUUGUGGUGUAUUUGGACGUUGGGGUACUACAUGAUUUAUUUGUAAUGUUUAAAUUUUUUUUAUUAUAAUGAUUAAAUAAUUAUUUUAUUGUUUUUUUAAUUAUUAUUUUUUUGCCAAUGAUGAUCAAAAUACUGUGAGAAAAUUGUGAAUUAUGUGUGAUUUUUUUGGAAAGUAGUAUGAAAAUUCACAAAGAAAAUAAAUAAUUUUUGAAUUUACAUAUUACUCUUAGGAAAAUCUCAAAUAAUUCACAUUGUGUUUUUUGUAGUGUAAAUAUGAAGACAUAAUAUCAUAGAUUCACAAGAUAUAUCAAAAUGUCUUUUGUAACGAAAUAAAUGAAAUUUAGGACAUAACUAUUUAAUGUUGUAUAAUCCUACAGAUAUAUAGACAUUCACGUCAAUAUUGUAAAUAUUGAAAUGCUCAAAGUUCGAGUUUGUUAUAACAAUUUGAUAAGUGUUAUAUAUUUUGAAUUA